rnacentral:rRNA from 2 species
GGUCAAGUGAAGAAGCGCAUACGGUGGAUGCCUUGGCAGUCAGAGGCGAUGAAAGACGUGGUAGCCUGCGAAAAGCUUCGGGGAGUCGGCAAACAGACUUUGAUCCGGAGAUGUCUGAAUGGGGGAACCCAGCCAUCAUAAGAUGGUUAUCUUGUACUGAAUACAUAGGUGCAAGAGGCGAACCAGGGGAACUGAAACAUCUAAGUACCCUGAGGAAAAGAAAUCAACCGAGAUUCCCUUAGUAGUGGCGAGCGAACGGGGACUAGCCCUUAAGUGGCUUUGAGAUUAGCGGAACGCUCUGGAAAGUGCGGCCAUAGUGGGUGAUAGCCCUGUACGCGAAAAUCUCUUAGUCAUGAAAUCGAGUAGGACGGAGCACGAGAAACUUUGUCUGAAUAUGGGGGGACCAUCCUCCAAGGCUAAAUACUACUGACUGACCGAUAGUGAACUAGUACCGUGAGGGAAAGGCGAAAAGAACCCCGGAGAGGGGAGUGAAAUAGAUCCUGAAACCGUAUGCGUACAAGCAGUGGGAGCCUACUUUGUUAGGUGACUGCGUACCUUUUGUAUAAUGGGUCAGCGACUUAUUUUCAGUGGCGAGCUUAACCGAAUAGGGGAGGCGUAGCGAAAGCGAGUCUUAAUAGGGCGUCUAGUCGCUGGGAAUAGACCCGAAACCGGGCGAUCUAUCCAUGGGCAGGUUGAAGGUUGGGUAACACUAACUGGAGGACCGAACCGACUACCGUUGAAAAGUUAGCGGAUGACCUGUGGAUCGGAGUGAAAGGCUAAUCAAGCUCGGAGAUAGCUGGUUCUCCUCGAAAGCUAUUUAGGUAGCGCCUCAUGUAUCACUGUAGGGGGUAGAGCACUGUUUCGGCUAGGGGGUCAUCCCGACUUACCAAACCGAUGCAAACUCCGAAUACCUACAAGUGCCGAGCAUGGGAGACACACGGCGGGUGCUAACGUCCGUCGUGAAAAGGGAAACAACCCAGACCGUCAGCUAAGGUCCCAAAGUUAUGGUUAAGUGGGAAACGAUGUGGGAAGGCUUAGACAGCUAGGAGGUUGGCUUAGAAGCAGCCACCCUUUAAAGAAAGCGUAAUAGCUCACUAGUCGAGUCGGCCUGCGCGGAAGAUGUAACGGGGCUCAAACCAUACACCGAAGCUACGGGUAUCACGUAAGUGAUGCGGUAGAGGAGCGUUCUGUAAGCCUGUGAAGGUGAGUUGAGAAGCUUGCUGGAGGUAUCAGAAGUGCGAAUGCUGACAUGAGUAACGACAAUGGGUGUGAAAAACACCCACGCCGAAAGACCAAGGUUUCCUGCGCAACGUUAAUCGACGCAGGGUUAGUCGGUCCCUAAGGCGAGGCUGAAAAGCGUAGUCGAUGGAAAACAGGUUAAUAUUCCUGUACUUCUGGUUAUUGCGAUGGAGGGACGGAGAAGGCUAGGCCAGCUUGGCGUUGGUUGUCCAAGUUUAAGGUGGUAGGCUGAGAUCUUAGGUAAAUCCGGGAUCUUAAGGCCGAGAGCUGAUGACGAGCUAACUUUUAGUUAGCGAAGUGGUUGAUGCCAUGCUUCCAAGAAAAGCUUCUAAGCUUCAGGUAACCAGGAACCGUACCCCAAACCGACACAGGUGGUUGGGUAGAGAAUACCAAGGCGCUUGAGAGAACUCGGGUGAAGGAACUAGGCAAAAUGGCACCGUAACUUCGGGAGAAGGUGCGCCGGUGAGGGUGAAGGACUUGCUCCGUAAGCUCAUGCCGGUCGAAGAUACCAGGCCGCUGCGACUGUUUAUUAAAAACACAGCACUCUGCAAACACGAAAGUGGACGUAUAGGGUGUGACGCCUGCCCGGUGCCGGAAGGUUAAUUGAUGGGGUUAGCUAACGCGAAGCUCUUGAUCGAAGCCCCGGUAAACGGCGGCCGUAACUAUAACGGUCCUAAGGUAGCGAAAUUCCUUGUCGGGUAAGUUCCGACCUGCACGAAUGGCGUAACGAUGGCGGCGCUGUCUCCACCCGAGACUCAGUGAAAUUGAAAUCGCUGUGAAGAUGCAGUGUAUCCGCGGCUAGACGGAAAGACCCCGUGAACCUUUACUAUAGCUUUGCACUGGACUUUGAAUUUGCUUGUGUAGGAUAGGUGGGAGGCUUUGAAGCGUGGACGCCAGUUCGCGUGGAGCCAUCCUUGAAAUACCACCCUGGCAACUUUGAGGUUCUAACUCAGGUCCGUUAUCCGGAUCGAGGACAGUGUAUGGUGGGUAGUUUGACUGGGGCGGUCUCCUCCUAAAGAGUAACGGAGGAGUACGAAGGUGCGCUCAGACCGGUCGGAAAUCGGUCGUAGAGUAUAAAGGCAAAAGCGCGCUUGACUGCGAGACAGACACGUCGAGCAGGUACGAAAGUAGGUCUUAGUGAUCCGGUGGUUCUGUAUGGAAGGGCCAUCGCUCAACGGAUAAAAGGUACUCCGGGGAUAACAGGCUGAUACCGCCCAAGAGUUCAUAUCGACGGCGGUGUUUGGCACCUCGAUGUCGGCUCAUCACAUCCUGGGGCUGAAGCCGGUCCCAAGGGUAUGGCUGUUCGCCAUUUAAAGUGGUACGCGAGCUGGGUUUAGAACGUCGUGAGACAGUUCGGUCCCUAUCUGCCGUGGACGUUUGAGAUUUGAGAGGGGCUGCUCCUAGUACGAGAGGACCGGAGUGGACGAACCUCUGGUGUUCCGGUUGUCACGCCAGUGGCAUUGCCGGGUAGCUAUGUUCGGAAUAGAUAACCGCUGAAAGCAUCUAAGCGGGAAACUAGCCUCAAGAUGAGAUCUCACUGGAACCUUGAGUUCCCUGAAGGGCCGUCGAAGACUACGACGUUGAUAGGUUGGGUGUGUAAGCGCUGUGAGGCGUUGAGCUAACCAAUACUAAUUGCCCGUGAGGCUUGACCAU